CAAACCAAAGCUGGCGACCGGCGCACGGGUGAGUAACACGUGUCCAACCUGCCUCAUACUCGGGGAUAGCCUUUCGAAAGAAAGAUUAAUAUCCGAUAGCAUAUAUUUCCCGCAUGGGUUUUAUAUUAAAGAAAUUCGGUAUGAGAUGGGAUGCGUUCCAUUAGUUUGUUGGGGGGGUAACGGCCCACCAAGACUACGAUGGAUAGGGGUUCUGAGAGGAAGGUCCCCCACAUUGGAACUGAGACACGGUCCAA
rnacentral:rRNA from 1 species